GAUGAACGCUAGCUACAGGCCUAACACAUGCAAGUCGAGGGACCGGCACACGUGAGAGUAAUACGUACCCAACCUGCCCUUUACUCGGAGAUAGCCGUUCGAAAGAAAGAUUAAUACCCGAUAUAAAGGGUGGGGAUGCGUUCCAUUAGGUUGUUGGUGAGGUACCGGCCAACCAAGCCUUCGCUGGCUGGUGGUUCUGGGAGGAAGGCCCCCUGCAGUGGAACUGAGGCACGGUCCAAACUCCGACGCGGCGCUGGAGAGUGGAGUACUGGUCGAUGAGCGUUAGCCUGAACCAGCCAAGUAGCGUGAAGGGUGGAGGCUUAGGAAACGUAAUCUUCUUUGAUAUAAGAAGAUGUAUUAUAUGAAUAAGGAUCGGCUAACUCCGUGCCAGCAGCCGCGGUAAUUC
rnacentral:rRNA from 1 species